rnacentral:rRNA from 1 species
GACGAACGCUGGCGGCGUGCUUAACACAUGCAAGUCGUACGGUAAGGCCCUUUCGGGGGUACACGAGUGGCGAACGGGUGAGUAACACGUGAGUAACCUGCCCACAACUUUGGGAUAACGCUAGGAAACUGGUGCUAAUACUGGAUAUGUGCCCCUGCUGCAUGGUGGGGGUUGGAAAGCUCCGGCGGUUGUGGAUGGACUCGCGGCCUAUCAGCUUGUUGGUGGGGUAGUGGCCUACCAAGGGGGCGACGGGUAGCCGGCCUGAGAGGGUGACCGGCCACAUUGGGACUGAGAUACGGCCCAGACUCCUACGGGAGGCAGCAGUGGGGAAUAUUGCACAAUGGGCGCAAGCCUGAUGCAGCAACGCCGCGUGCGGGAUGACGGCCUUCGGGUUGUAAACCGCUUUCAGCAGGGACGAAGCUUUUUGUGACGGUACCUGCAGAAGAAGCACCGGCUAACUACGUG